ensembl:lncRNA
GUUUAUAUCUCCGGGGACGAGAUUAUUCUCUUUUUUUUUCUCUUGCUGCCUUCAUCGCUUUAUCAUCCACGCCCCCUCCUUUGCUUCACUACAGCGAAUAAUUGCAGAAACCGGACCGUAAAUCUCCGGGAGUGCAGAACAGGACAACCGCUUAACUUAUCCCCUCUUGACUUUCCGUUCUACGUGUUUGAAGUGACUGCAACAGAGAGGCCUUCAGCUUUUGACUCAUCUGAGAAUGCAUGACGUAACCGAAGGUCACGUAGCCCUGUGCGGCCAACGCCAAGAUUCCUUCCACUUGGU